CAGCCGCCGCGGGAAUACGUAGGUGGCAAGCGUUGUCCGGAAUUAUUGGGCGUAAAGGGCCCGCAGGCGGUUUCUUAAGUCUGAUGUGAAAGCCCCCGGCUCAACCGGGGAGGGUCAUUGGAGACUGGGAAACUUGAGUGCAGAAGAGGAGAGUGGAAUUCCACGUGUAGCGGUGAAAUGCGUAGAGAUGUGGAGGAACACCAGUGGCGAAGGCGACUCUCUGGUCUGUAACUGACGCUGAGGAGCGAAAGCGUGGGGAGCGAACAGGAUUAGAUACCCCGGUAGUCCCUGUCUCUUAUAC
rnacentral:rRNA from 1 species